ACUUCUCUGUGGGUGAAAUUGUAGUAUGGCGCGUUAACCUCAUACAUGUGUGACAUGUGUGCUUAUCCCCACACAAGUGUUCUCACAUGAAAUAUGUAAAUCAAAGGUUUUUGCGCCUUUUGAAGGCGAGUUCCAACCUUCCCUCACAUUCGGCCGCCUGUAGCUUCGUUGUUCGCAACCAGUUUCUAUUACUUCCCACUAAUGUCUAAGAUUCUGUUAUGUCUAAUCAUCUUUUUCUUGGUGAGUGUUGUCAUACUUGAAUACAAAGUCAAAGGAUAUUAUGGCUACACGCUCCCCAUGGCAGCCCUAGAACCCACGUAUCAAAGAGGAAAAGUACGACCUGAUUUCUCUGAUGAACCUCCCAUAACCGCGUCUGAGGAGCUGCUUCCUCCCCGUGGGUUAACUGGAAGUAAUAUGACACAAGGGGAUCCCACAAACAUUGCUGCACGCCCGGAGGAAUCGUAGAAAAUGGACAUCGAAGUAGGGUCCCUGUGAUAUGGAAGACUGUGUGUGUGCGCGGUGAGGAAGUGGAUCCCUACCGACUUCCUAACCUUAUACGGAUAAUGUCAAGAUGUAUAACGUUUUGGUGUGUAUUAUUUUCAAGCAGGGCCAGCGGAGAGCAGCGGGCCCGGGCAGCGGCCAUCGGUCUACAGCGCGACCUCUGCAAACUUGUAUCGCAACCAAGGCAGCAGGUCAUCCACCCAUUUCCCUGGGCUACGAUGAGGGCGCUUCUUGUGUUCAUGAGCCGACCUUUAAAUUGUAUGAGAAUGAUUCCAGAACGUUUUAUUGUGAAAUUUCCGAGAAUUUCGUAAGGUAAAUGAAUACUGGAUGUAACUGCAUAAACGGAUUCACCCUUGAACUGCAGCUGUAGUAAUGAUUAUACAACAGUAUUAAUUUUCAUAUUAUGAAUAUAUAUUUGAAUUAGAAAAAUACGACGCACUAACUUUGCACAUACAUAUGUAGCUUUGCAUAGCACGUAAAACGGGUUUUGUUUUUCAAUAUAAAAGUCAUCGACUAUGAUCAUAAAAUACAUUUAUAGACAGUAA